GACAGAGGUGCCGAGCGUUAGGCGGAAUCACUGGGCUUAAAGCGUGUGUAGGCGGAUCGUUAAGUACCUUGUGAAAUCCCACGGCUUAACCGUGGAACUGCUGGGUAUACUGGCGAUCUUGAGGUGCUCAGGGGCGAGCGGAACAGAUGGUGGAGCGGUGAAAUGCGUAGAUAUCAUCUGGAACGCCUGCGGUGAAAACGGCUCGCUGGGAGCAAUCUGACGCUGAGAUACGAAAGCCAGGGGAGCGAACGGG
rnacentral:rRNA from 1 species